AUUGGAGAGUUUGAUCCUGGCUCAGGACGAACGCUGGCGGCGUGCCUAACACAUGCAAGUCGGACGGGACCGGGGGCAACUCCGGUUCAGUGGCAGAUGGGUGCGUAACACGUGAGCAACUUGUCCGUCGGCGGGGGAUAGCCGGCCCAACGGCCGGGUAAUACCGCUUACGCUCGCUCGGGGGCAUCCCUGAACGAGGAAAGCAGCCGCAAGGUUGCGCCGGUGGAGAGGCUCGCGGCCUAUCAGCUUGUUGGCGGGGUAAUGGCCCACCAAGGCGACGACGGGUAGCUGGUCUGAGAGGAUGGCCAGCCACAUUGGGACUGAGACACGGCCCAGACUCCUACGGGAGGCAGCAGUGGGGAAUAUUGCGCAAUGGCCGCAAGGCUGACGCAGCGACGCCGCGUGUGGGAUGACGGCC
rnacentral:rRNA from 1 species